GACGAACGCUGGCGGCGUGCUUAACACAUGCAAGUCGAACGGAAAGGCCCUGCUUUUGUGGGGUGCUCGAGUGGCGAACGGGUGAGUAACACGUGAGUAACCUGCCCUUGACUUUGGGAUAACUUCAGGAAACUGGGGCUAAUACCGGAUAGGAGCUCCUGCUGCAUGGUGGGGGUUGGAAAGUUUCGGCGGUUGGGGAUGGACUCGCGGCUUAUCAGCUUGUUGGUGGGGUAGUGGCUUACCAAGGCUUUGACGGGUAGCCGGCCUGAGAGGGUGACCGGCGACAUUGGGACUGAGAUACGGCCCAGACUCCAACGGGAGGCAGCAGUGGGGAAUAUUGCACAAUGGGCGGAAGCCUGAUGCGGCAACGCCGCGUGCGGGAUGACGGCCUUCGGGUUGUAAACCGCUUUCGCCUGUGACGAAGCGUGAGUGACGGUAAUGGGUAAAGAAGCACCGGCUAACUACGUG
rnacentral:rRNA from 1 species